UUCGAGUUUCACUCCCAACCCCUGUGAACAUACCAAUUGUUGCCUCGGCGGAUCAGCCCGCUCCCGGUAAAACGGGACGGCCCGCCAGAGGACCCCUAAACUCUGUUUCUAUAUGUAACUUCUGAGUAAAACCAUAAAUAAAUCAAAACUUUCAACAACGGAUCUCUUGGUUCUGGCAUCGAUGAAGAACGCAGCAAAAUGCGAUAAGUAAUGUGAAUUGCAGAAUUCAGUGAAUCAUCGAAUCUUUGAACGCACAUUGCGCCCGCCAGUAUUCUGGCGGGCAUGCCUGUUCGAGCGUCAUUUCAACCCUCAAGCACAGCUUGGUGUUGGGACUCGCGUUAAUUCGCGUUCCUCAAAUUGAUUGGCGGUCACGUCGAGCUUCCAUAGCGUAGUAGUAAAACCCUCGUUACUGGUAAUCGUCGCGGCCACGCCGUUAAACCCCAACUUCUGAAUGUUGACCUCGGAUCAGGUAGGAAUACCCGCUGAACUUAAGCAUAUCAAUAAGCGGAGGAAACCUU
rnacentral:rRNA from 1 species